rnacentral:snoRNA from 1 species
UUAAGUGAUGAUACGAACAAAAACCAAGCUGGAAUUACCGACUGAACAUACAUUGUAGAAAGUUUUUGCAACUAUCCUGAUU